UACGUAGGUGGCAAGCGUUGUCCGGAUUUAUUGGGCGUAAAGGGAGCGCAGGUGGUUUCUUAAGUCUGAUGUGAAAGCCCACGGCUUAACCGUGGAGGGUCAUUGGAAACUGGGGAACUUGAGUGCAGAAGAGGAGAGUGGAAUUCCAUGUGUAGCGGUGAAAUGCGCAGAGAUAUGGAGGAACACCAGUGGCGAAGGCGACUCUCUGGUCUGCAACUGACGCUGAUGUGCGAAAGCGUGGGGAUCAAACAGGAUUA
rnacentral:rRNA from 1 species